rnacentral:lncRNA from 1 species
AUGGGCGCCGCCAUCUUCGGCCCCUGUCACGUGACACGGGGCGUACCACCACAGACCCCCCCAUCGGUGUCCACAGGGACCCCCAGAGACGCCGCGGGUCGCUAUGGAGACCCCCCCAAAGAGACUCUCCAGACAGCCCACGGGGGAUUAUGGACAUCCCCAAGUACCCCCAGAGACCCCACGGGCGGUUUUCGGCAUCCCCACCCCAUUGAAAUCCCCCGGACACACUCGGGGGGUUAUGGGGACCCCCACCCUCAGACACCUUGCGCAGAGACCCUCGAGCAAAUCCCCCCCCGGGCACAACCCCCCGGUCAACACCCCCCUGCGGCCCCCCUCAGAGCCCCCCUAGGACCCUCCCCGGCCAAUUGCCCCGGAGCCCCCGCCUCCCCCGGGAAGCCCCCGGUCCGUGCCGCUGCAGCUCCUUCGGGGGUCCCCCCGCUUCCCCCUCACUCACCGCCGGCUCCGGGGGUCCCUGGGCCGGGGGCGGAGCGGGCCGGGCCCCCCUCACUUGAUACUCAGGCGGGGGCGGGGGGGGGCGCAGCAUCGGGAGGGGGGGGGGACGGCACUGGGGGCACCGGGGGGGGUGGCACGGGGGGGGACAGGGGGGGAGGUGGCACUGGGGACAGGCGGGGGGGGCGCAAAAAGGGGAGCAGCAGGGGGGGCGACAGGACGGGGGGUGAUACUGGGGGCAGCAGGGAGGGGGGUGGCAGGGAGGGGGGUGGCACUGGGGGCAGCAGGGAGGGGGGUAGCACUGGGGACAGGGGGGUGGGGGGCAGCAGGAGGGGUGGCAGGGUGGGGGGUGGCACUGGGGGCAGCAGGGCGGGGGGUGGCAGGGCGGGGGGUGGCACUGGGGGCAGCAGGAGGGGUGGCAGGGCGGGGGGUGGCACUGGGGGCAGCAGGGCGGGGGGCAGAGGGCGGGGGCGCAGCACGGGGGCAGGUGACAGGAGGGGGGACAGUGCGGGGAGGUUCCCCCGCGCCGGCGGGGCCGGGGUCGCGGCCAGCCCAGCCCCAUGGCCGAGCGGCCCCCCUGCGGCCCCUCCCGCCCCCGGGGAUUUACCGGGAAAAGCGGCUGAGCGGGGGGAGCGGGGGGGACACGUGGCGGCACCCAUGGGUGAGGGACACGGGGACAUGGGGACGUGA